GUGUCAGCAGCCGCGGUAAUACGUAGGUGGCAAGCGUUGUCCGGAAUUAUUGGGCGUAAAGCGCGCGCAGGCGGUCUCUUAAGUCUGAUGUGAAAUCUCGCGGCUCAACCGCGAGCGGCCAUUGGAAACUGGGAGACUUGAGUGCAGAAGAGGAGAGUGGAAUUCCAUGUGUAGCGGUGAAAUGCGUAGAUAUAUGGAGGAACACCAGUGGCGAAGGCGACUCUCUGGUCUGUAACUGACGCUGAGGCGCGAAAGCGUGGGGAGCAAACAGGAUUAGAAACCCCUGUAGUCC
rnacentral:rRNA from 1 species